rnacentral:misc_RNA from 1 species
AUUAAGGAGACAAACAUACAGGCGAUUGGGAAAGCUUCUAAACUAGAUAUUGAAAGUGGAAUUAAUAUUUUAUCAUAAUAAUGGCAAAAGCCAAAAAGAGAGCUACAUCGAAGAAACAAAAACGGGGAACUACACAGGUAAAGAAAAGAACAAGUAGUCAACUCAAGAGAAAAACCCCAAAGCAAACCCCACAGAAUACGAAAAGGACUCCAAAGGCAAGAAGACGUACGGGUGCAAGAUAUGGAGCCGGUUUUGCUCCAGCAAGAGAGAGGAUGAUGGGCCCGACAAUACAGAGUAUCAAAAAAAGGCCGAAACCAGUAAGUCCGCCCUUUGCUCCCCCACCACCACCAAGUAUCACGUGAUUCUACGGAGAUAAUAACCAACAAUAACGAUGAAGAGCAGAUGCUAUAAACUUUCUAGUAUCAAUUGCUUGCUUUAUAUUCACUUUUAUCUAAACAUAGCAGCUAUCAUUUUUUAAAUUUGGAUGAAAGACAAUUUUGAAAUCGUGUAUAUUUUUAUUUAACAAAUAUGAUGCUGUUUGAUAUAUAAUCUUAAAAUUAAAUGAACGAUUUCUAUUUUGCAGCAUUUUUUGGCAUGCCUCUUUGCAAAUCAAAUCAGAUUUUUAUAAUUGUUCGUUCUUUGAAUUAAAGUGUAUUGAUUUGUCUUGAAAGCC